rnacentral:rRNA from 1 species
AUUGAACGCUGGCGGCAGGCCUAACACAUGCAAGUCGAACGAGUGGCGGAGGGGUGAGUAAUGUCUGGGAAACUUCCCGAUGGCGGGGGUUAACUAUUGGAAACGGUAGCUAAUACUGCAUACUAUCGGGAGUGCGCAGAUGGGAGUGGCUAGUCGGUGGGGUGACGGCUUACCUGGGCGACAAUCCCUAGCUGGGUUGAGAGGAUGACCGGGCAAACUGGAACUGUGACACUGUCCAGACGCCUACGGGAGGCAGCGGUGGAGAAUAUUGGGAAAUGGGCGAAAGCGUGAUGCAGCCAUGCCGCGUGGAUGAGGAAGGCCUUCGGGUUGUAAAGUACUUUAAGUGAGGAGGCGUUACUUGGAGAAGAAGCGCCGGCUAACUCCGUGCCAGCAGCCGCGGUAAUUC